rnacentral:rRNA from 1 species
GACGAACGCUGGCGGCGUGCCUAAUACAUGCAAGUCGAACGCAGUGGGGACGGUGGCGUAACACGUGGGUAACCUCCCAUCAGAGGGGAGAACACUUGGAAACAGGUGCUAAACCGCUACUGAUGUAGGGACCCGGGGUGCAUUGGCUAGUUGGUGGGGUAACGGCUCACCAAGGCUACGAUGCAUACCCGACCUGAGAGGGUGAUCGGCCACACUGGAACUGAGAAACGGCCCAGACUCCUACGGGAGGCAGCAGUAGGGAAUCUUCGGCAAUGGACGAAAGUCUGACCGAGCAACGCCGCGUGAGUGAAGAAGGUUUUCGGAUCGUAAAGCUCUGUUGUUAGAGAAGCGGUAUCUGACCAGAAAGUCACGGCUAACUACGUGCCAGCAGCCGCGGUAAUUC